UACGGAGGAUGCGAGCGUUAUCCGGAUUUAUUGGGUUUAAAGGGUGCGUAGGCGGACGCUUAAGUCAGCGGUAAAAUUGCGGGGCUCAACCUCGUCGAGCCGUUGAAACUGGGUGUCUUGAGUAGGCGAGAAGUACGCGGAAUGCGUGGUGUAGCGGUGAAAUGCAUAGAUAUCACGCAGAACUCCGAUUGCGAAGGCAGCGUACCGGCGCCCAACUGACGCUGAAGCACGAAGGCGUGGGUAUCGAACAGG
rnacentral:rRNA from 1 species